UCUAAUUUUGAAGGGAGAAUUUUGCUCCCGGUCGACGAUGGACCGCUUGAAUUGAAGUCUUUUUUAUUCGGCAAUGCGUCGAUAUAUCAAUCCUGGCACAAUGGGAAAUGAGCCGGAGACCCUACAAAGGCGCAGAUCUGAACGUUCCGGAGAAAGGCCACGUCGAAUCUCUGUUCUUCGACGCACGAUAAGAUGAGGGGAGAUUCGUCGCAUGCUCCUCCUCCUCCUUAUUGUUCUCCUCGUUCGCGGCUGAUCUUGAACGAGAUCGUUGGUCGCCAUGAUCAACGAAGCAGCUUCGGUUUUCACCCUUGAGUCACUUGAGACCGAGGAAGGACGCUGGGAAGGGUGAUUAAACUUAUCGGACGAAA